rnacentral:rRNA from 1 species
UACGAAGGGGGCUAGCGUUGCUCGGAAUCACUGGGCGUAAAGGGUGCGUAGGCGGGUCUUUUAAGUCAGGGGUGAAAUCCUGGAGCUCAACUCCAGAACUGCCUUUGAUACUGAGGAUCUUGAGUACGGGAGAGGUGAGUGGAACUGCGAGUGUAGAGGUGAAAUUCGUAGAUAUUCGCAAGAACACCAGUGGCGAAGGCGGAUCUCUGGACAGCUCCUGACGCUGAGGCGCG